CUGGCGGCGUGCUUAACACAUGGCAAGUCGAACGAAAGGACGGGAAGAGCUUGCUCUUUCCGGAAUUGAGUGGCAAACGGGUGAGUAACACGUAAACAACCUGCCUUCAGGAUGGGGACAACAGACGGAAACGACUGCUAAUACCGGAAUAAGUUCCAAGAGCCGCAUGGCCCAUGGAAGAAAAGGUGGCCUCUACCUGUAAGCUAUCGCCUGAAGAGGGGUUUGCGUCUGAUUAGCUAGUUGGUAAGGUAACGGCUUACCAAGGCGACGAUCAGUAGCCGGCUUGAGAGAGUGAACGGCCACAUUGGGACUGAGACACGGCCCAAACUCCUACGGGAGGCAGCAGUGGGGAAUAUUGCACAAUGGGGGAAACCCUGAUGCAGCGACGCCGCGUGAGUGAAGAAGUAUUUCGGUAUGUAAAGCUCUAUCAGCAGGGAAGAUAAUGACGGUACCUGACUAAGAAGCCCCGGCUAACUACGUG
rnacentral:rRNA from 1 species